GAUAUAAAUGGUAAUUUUCCUUUUACCCCGCCGUGAAAAAGAUGAUGGCCGAAACUCACUCCCCAGCCGGAAACCUACCACGUUCUUCCCCUCCCUCCUCGCCGCUUUUCCUCCAAGGGACGAGCAAACCCUAACCAAGCUUGCCUCCGAAUUCAUCUUCUUCCCUACUAAUCCUCCCUCGCCGCCGUUUCCCGUCUCCGACGCUUUCGCGCCAUAAUCUACCGGAUGCCCGUCCGCUCUAGAAUGGUCCGAAAAUUUUCAGUCCUUCUUUUGAAUCUGGCGUCAAUGUUCUGUGGCCACAGCGACCGCAUGCUGAGCUGACUGAUCCCAUCCAGAUGCUGCUGAAUUUUUGCUGCCCAGUCUUAUGAGUUUCAACCCUCCCGUUCGAGGAGCUGAGAGCCCCUAGUGAUGAAUGUCAGUCUCUAAACACCAACAUAUUUCCUAUUUUGUGCAAGGAUGCCCUAGGGCAAAAUACGAUGCAUCAGCAGGAUGGGAGUAAUAUAUUUUGUGUAUGAGCCUGAGAUGCCCGAUCCACAUUUGAAAUCUCAAUUUUUUUGGCCGUAACCCUCAUGUUUCUUCCUCGAGUUCCACACCAUGUUUCAAUUGAUCGAUUAUAAAUAUUUCAACUUUUUCAACAAAAACAAAUCUUUUUUUAUA